UACGUAGGGGGCAAGCGUUGUCCGGAUUUAUUGGGCGUAAAGAGCGUGUAGGCGGUCAGGUAGGUCCGUUGUGAAAACUCGAGGCUCAACCUCGAGACGCCGAUGGAAACCAUCUGACUAGAGUCCGGAAGAGGAGAGUGGAAUUCCUGGUGUAGCGGUGAAAUGCGCAGAUAUCAGGAAGAACACCCGUGGCUAAGGCGGCUCUCUAGUACGGUACUGACGCUGAGACGCGAAAGCGUGGGGAGCGAACAGGG
rnacentral:rRNA from 1 species